UGGGGAAUAUUGCACAAUGGGCGCAAGCCUGAUGCAGCCAUGCCGCGUGUAUGAAGAAGGCCUUCGGGUUGUAAAGUACUUUCAGCGGGGAGGAAGGCGAUGCGGUUAAUAACCGCGUCGAUUGACGUUACCCGCAGAAGAAGCACCGGCUAACUCCGUGCCAGCAGCCGCGGUAAUACGGAGGGUGCAAGCGUUAAUAGGAAUUACUGGGCGUAAAGCGCACGCAGGCGGUCUGUCAAGUCGGAUGUGAAAUCCCCGGGCUCAACCUGGGAACUGCAUCCGAAACUGGCAGGCUUGAGUCUCGUAGAGGGGGGUAGAAUUCCAGGUGUAGCGGUGAAAUGCGUAGAGAUCUGGAGGAAUACCGGUGGCGAAGGCGGCCCCCUGGACGAAGACUGACGCUCAGGUGCGAAAGCGUGGGGAGCAAACA
rnacentral:rRNA from 1 species